AGCUAAGAUGCGCGGGUUCAGGCAUCAGGACCAGCGCGGGAGAGGAAGAGAGUGGAGGAAGAUCUAGUGUGCAAUACUACUUUGAGGGGCGGGGAAGAGGCGGAGAACUGACCCCACUGGGCGCUGUCUGGGGGAGAAGGUGCACAGCGUUCAUCACAUUUUCAGAAUGGCCCCUGGCCACAAGGUUAAAAGAGAAAAAUUACCCUGGAUCAUAGAAAUUAGUAUUUCUUUUCAGUCUCUGUUCUUGAUGUAGCGUCAAAACAUGAGACGUGUAUGUUUCUUCGCCCGCCCCCCACCCCAAAAUUGUUUCAGAGAGAAAAAUGAGCAAGAGAAAGGCGUGGCUUCGUCCUGCCCUUGAGGAAGGCCACGAAGGCUGAACGAGGGGGGUCAGACCUCGGCGUGCAUGAGCAGAAACCCCGGCAGAAGGCCGGCUGGUAGGUCACGCGCGAACCUCUGGACUGCACUUGCAUGGUGGCCGCCGAAGGCUGACGCCAAUUUCCCUACCGUUUCAAGAGGGAAUCAAGAUUGGUGGCGAGUGUUUUGUAAACGGGAAUACAGAAAAGCGUACGAGUCAUAAACACGUUGGGAAAAUGUGCCUCAUGAAUUAGUAAGGACUGAAAUUUACCCUAGCUCAACUUUCUUCCUUUCUUCUUCUUUUUAAAUUUUUAAAUAAAUUUUUGUAAGAUUGAUUGAUUUUAGAAAGACUGAAAGAUAGGGAAAGGGGCAGAGGGAGACAACGUCCAAGCUGACUCCUGCUGAGUGCACAGCCACAGGUGGGCCUCCAUCCCAGGACCUAUGGGAUCAGGACCUGCAUCGAAGCCAAGAGUCCAACGCUCAAAAGACUGAGCCACUCAGGCGGCGCAGACUCUCAACUACUGCUUUCCGGAAGAGGCCGUUAAUGAUUACCCUAGUUAAAACAGCCUCCUGCACCACCCAGUCCCAGUCUCUGGCAGGGAUCGUUGUUGUCUACCAAUCCCCAUCUGCCUCUUCCUCUGGAGUUUUCCCUCUUUGUGGCUACAGAAGAAACAUUUCCCAGUCUUCCUUGCAGACAGUUGGAAUACAGACAAGAUUAUAGGAGCUGAAGCAGCUAGGAGAUGGAGAGAUGAAGGCUUUCAGAGAUAAAGAGAGCAGCAGGAGGCGCAGAAGGAGAAGGAGAAGAA